rnacentral:rRNA from 1 species
UGCGCAGGCGGCUCCUUAAGUCAGAUGUGAAAUCCCCGGGCUUAACCUGGGAACUGCGUUUGAAACUGGGGAGCUGGAGUGUAGAAGAGGGGGGUGGAAUUCCAGGUGUAGCAGUGAAAUGCGUAGAGAUCUGGAGGGACACCGAUGGCGAAGGCAGCCCCCUGGGCUAACACUGACGCUCAUGCACGAAAGCGUGGGAGCAAACA